GUAGUCAUAUGCUUGUCUCAAAGAUUAAGCCAUGCAUGUCUAAGUAUAGCAUUUAUACCGUGAAACUGCGAAUGGCUCAUUAAAUCAGUUAUCGUUUAUUUGAUAGUACCUUACUACUUGGAUACCCGUGGUAAUUCUAGAGCUAAUACAUGCUAAAAACCCCGACUUCGGGAGGGGUGUGUUUAUUAGAUAAAAAACCAACGCCCUUCGGGGCUCCUUGGUGAUUCAUGAUAACCUCUCAGAUCGCACGGCCUUGCGCCGGCGACGGUUCAUUCAAAUUUCUGCCCUAUCAACUUUCGAUGGUAAGGUAUUGGCUUACCAUGGUUUCAACGGGUAACGGGGAAUUAGGGUUCGAUUCCGGAGAGUGAGCCUGAGAAACGGCUCACACAUCCAAGGAAGGCAGCAGGCGCGCAAAUUACCCAAUCCCGACGCGGGGAGGUAGUGACAAUAAAUACUGAUACAGGGCUCUUUUGGGUCUUGUAAUUGGAAUGAGUACAAUUUAAACCUCUUAACGAGGAACAAUUGGAGGGCAAGUCUGGUGCCAGCAGCCGCGGUAAUUCCAGCUCCAAUAGCGUAUAUUAAAGUUGUUGCAGUUAAAAAAGCUCGUAGUUGAAUCUUUGGCCUGGCUGGCGGGUCCGCCUCACCGCGUGCACUUGUCCGGCCGGGCCUUCUCUUCUGGAGAACCGCAUGCCCUUCACUGGGCGUGUUGGGGACCAGGACUUUUACUUUGAAAAAAUUAGAGUGUUCAAAGCAGGCCUUUGCUCGAAUACGUUAGCAUGGAAA
rnacentral:rRNA from 1 species